rnacentral:rRNA from 1 species
CUCAGGAUGAACGCUGGCGGUGUGCUUAACACAUGCAAGUCGAACGGUCUCUUUGGAGAUAGUGGCGGACGGGUGAGUAACGCGUGAGAAUCUGGCUCUAGGUCUGGGAUAACAGAUGGAAACGUCUGCUAAUACCGGAUGUGCCGAGAGGUGAAAGGUUCACUGCCUAGAGAUGAGCUCGCGUCAGAUUAGCUAGUAGGUGGGGUAAGGGCUCACCUAGGCGACGAUCUGUAGCUGGUCUGAGAGGGCGAUCAGCCACACUGGGACUGAGACACGGCCCAGACUCCUACGGGAGGCAGCAGUGGGGAAUUUUCCGCAAUGGGCGAAAGCCUGACGGAGCAAUACCGCGUGAGGGAGGAAGGCUCUUGGGUUGUAAACCUCUUUUCUCAAGGAAUAAGAUAUGAAGGUACUUGAGGAAUAAGCAUCGGCUAACUCCGUGCCAGCAGCCGCGGUAAUACGGAGGAUGCAAGCGUUAUCCGGAAUGAUUGGGCGUAAAGCGUCCGUAGGUGGUUUUGUGUGUCUGCUGUUAAAGCGUGCGGCUUUACCGCAUAAGGGCGGUGGAAACUACAAGACUAGAGUACGUUCGGGGCAGGGGGAAUUCCCAGUGUAGCGGUGAAAUGCGUAGAGAUUGGGAAGAACACCGGUGGCGAAAGCGCCCUGCUAGGCCGUAACUGACACUGAGGGACGAAAGCUAGGGGAGCGAAUGGGAUUAGAUACCCCAGUAGUCCUAGCCGUAAACGAUGGUGACUAGAUGUGGCUCGUAUUGACCCGAGCCGUGUCGUAGCUAACGCGAUAAGUCACCCGCCUGGGGAGUACGCACGCAAG